rnacentral:piRNA from 1 species
UCCAGUUGCAUACGUAGCAGAAGAUGGCCU